GACGAGGGGUCCAAGCGUUGUUCGGAAUCAUUGGGCGUAAAGCGGGUGUAGGCGGCCUUAUAAGUCAGAAGUGAAAGCCCUGGGCUCAACCCGGGAAGUGCUUUUGAUACUGCAAGGCUUGAAUGUGGGAGAGGGUAGUGGAAUUCCUGGUGUAGUGGUGAAAUACGUAGAUAUCAGGAGGAACACCCGUGGCGAAGGCGGCCAACUGGGCCGGACCUGACGCUGAGGCGCGAAGGCGUGGGGAGCGAACGGG
rnacentral:rRNA from 1 species